rnacentral:rRNA from 1 species
CCUACGGGAGGCUGCAGUGAGGAAUAUUGGUCAAUGGACGAGAGUCUGAACCAGCCAAGUAGCGUGAAGGAUGACUGCCCUAUGGGUUGUAAACUUCUUUUAUAUGGGAAUAAAAUGUUCCACGUGUGGGAUUUUGUAUGUACCAUAUGACUAAGGAUCGGCUAACUCCGUGCCAGCAGCCGCGGUAAUACGGAGGAUCCGAUCGUUAUCCGGAUUUAUUGGGUUUAAAGGGAGCGUAGGUGGAUUGUUAAGUCAGUUGUGAAAGUUUGCGGCUCAACCGUAAAAUUGCAGUUGAAACUGGCAGUCUUGAGUACAGUAGAGGUGGGCGGAAUUCGUGGUGUAGCGGUGAAAUGCUUAGAUAUCACGAAGAACUCCGAUUGCGAAGGCAGUUCACUGGACUGCAACUGACACUGAGGCUCGAAAGUGUGGGUAUCAAACAGGAUUAGAUACCCCUGUAGUC